AAUCAGAAUGAAAUGUAACAGAGCUACUCGAACCUGAUGCCAUCUUGAGCAGCGCAAUUCUAGAAACAUAUAGGACGUACAGGACCCUGAACCUAAGGGCAUUGUGUAGGAAUCCGCAGAAGACGUUGAUGUCUACAAGAUGUUUAAUGACAGGAUGAAAGCCCCAAAGGAUGCGAACUGUCUCUGCAGAGAGCACCACUCUGUUGUGGUUUGGUUUCGCCAAGGUCAAUGUGCAGUGGACCCACUCCAGGGUGAAGGUCUUCCCGGGUGGCUGCUUCAGCCAUUUUGGUAACAAGUUGAUAUUAUAGCUGAAUAGUGAGUCCCGUCCUUCUGCUCCCUCUUGUAUACCGAGGACGUCUUUUUCAAGCACAUUUUCCACUUCAUCAAUGCAAGCGACAUGGGCUACCUCUUGCUGGGUUAGGUCUUAGACUGCUCCCUCUCCUGGAUCAGCUUAGGCCCCCCAUCA